rnacentral:rRNA from 1 species
GAUCAUGGCUCAGGAUGAACGCUAGCUACAGGCUUAACACAUGCAAGUCGAGGGGCAGCAUGGUCUUAGCUUGCUAAGGCCGAUGGCGACCGGCGCACGGGUGAGUAACACGUAUCCAACCUGCCGUCUACUCUUGGACGAGCCUUCUGAAAGGAAGAUUAAUACAAGAUGGCAAAUCAUGAGUUCACAUGUUCACAUGAUUAAAGGUAUUCCGGUAGACGAUGGGGA